ACUCCUACGGGAGGCAGCAGUGGGGAAUAUUGCACAAUGGGCGCAAGCCUGAUGCAGCCAUGCCGCGUGUAUGAAGAAGGCCUUCGGGUUGUAAAGUACUUUCAGCGGGGAGGAAGGCGAUAAGGUUAAUAACCUUGUCGAUUGACGUUACCCGCAGAAGAAGCACCGGCUAACUCCGUGCCAGCAGCCGCGGUAAUACGGAGGGUGCAAGCGUUAAUCGGAAUUACUGGGCGUAAAGCGCACGCAGGCGGUCUGUCAAGUCGGAUGUGAAAUCCCCAGGCUCAACCUGGGAACUGCAUUCGAAACUGGCAGGCUAGAGUCUUGUAGAGGGGGGUAGAAUUCCAGGUGUAGCGGUGAAAUGCGUAGAGAUCUGGAGGAAUACCGGUGGCGAAGGCGGCCCCCUGGACAAAGACUGACGCUCAGGUGCGAAAGCGUGGGGAGCAAACAGGAUUAGAAACCCGUGUAGUCCCAU
rnacentral:rRNA from 1 species